rnacentral:rRNA from 1 species
AUGAGCAGCAUGUCGAGGAUGCCGCUCCCUCCGUCCCCUCCCCCUUCCCUCUCCAGCAAGCCCCCCACCCUGCCCUUCUCUCCCAAGAAGACGCCGCCGAUGCCCGUCUACAAGGACCUGCACUUCAACCACGACCUCUCCGCCACCAAGAAGUUGCAGGCUGGCGUGGACCUGGUGGCGCGGCUGGUGGGGGUCACCCUGGGUCCCAAGGGGAGGAAUGUGGUGCUCGCCAACAAGUAUGGCCCUCCCAAGAUCGUCAACGAUGGGGAGACUGUCCUCAAGGAGAUCGAAUUGGAGGAUCCGCUGGAAAAUCUAGGAGUUAAAUUGGUCAGACAGGCCGGCGCCAGGACGAACGAUAUUGCCGGCGAUGGGUGUACCACUUCUAUAAUCCUUGCUCAAGGCCUGAUUGCUGAAGGAAUGAAGGUUCUUGCUGCUGGAAUGAAUCCGGUUCAAAUUGCGCGUGGCAUUGGGAGGACUGCUGAUGCUUUAGUUUCUGAACUCAAGUUGAUGUCACGGGAGAUUGAAGACCAUGAAAUAGCACAUGUGGCUGCAGUUAGCGCGGGAAAUGAUUACGCUGUCGGAAACAUGAUUUCUGAUGCUUUUAAAAGAGUAGGCAGGGAAGGCAUGGUUAGGAUUGAAAACGGGAGAAGCACUGUAAACAGUUUGGAGGUUGUCGAAGGAAUGCAGUUUGAACGUGGUUACCUCUCACCUUUCUUUGUGACUAAACAUGCAAAUAUGUCCGCGGAGUACACUGACUGUAAGAUCCUGUUGGUUGACAAGAUAAUUUCUGAUCCAAGGGAACUUUUAAGGGUAUGCUUUAGUGCUGUAAAAGAAGAUUUUCCAUUGUUAAUAAUUGCUGAGGAUGUCGAAGAAGAAGCAUUGGCUACUUUGACGAGAAACAAGCUAUCAGGGAUGAUCAAAGUGGCAGCAAUUAAGGCUCCUUCUUUCGGUGAACAAAAAACCCAAUGCUUAGAAGACAUUGCAAUCAUAACAGGAGGUACAGUAGUGAGAGAUGACAUGGGAUACACACUAGAAGAGGCAGGGAAAGAGUUCUUAGGCUCUGCUUCUAAGGUAAUAGUCAAGAAAGAUUCAACACUAAUUGUUACUGAUGGAAGCACCCUUCAUGCGGUUGAGAAAAGGGUUGCUCAGAUAAAAGGCCAAGUUGAGAACUCAAAGGAGAGGUACCAGAAAAAGAUACUGGGUGAGAGGAUUGCAAGGUUAUCUGGUGCAAUUGCAAUCAUUCAGGUUGGUGCUCAAACAGUCAUUGAGCUGAAAGAUAAGAAGCUGAGAAUUGAAGAUGCCCUUAACGCAACCAUGGCAGCUAUUGAGGAAGGUGUUGUAGUUGGUGGUGGAUGCAGCCUACUAAGAUUAUCCCAGAAGAUUGACAUGAUCAAGGAAUCAUUGGAUAAUUUAGAGCAGAAGAUUGGUGCUGACAUCUUCAAACAUGCUCUGAGCUACCCUACCACACUAAUAGCUAACAAUGCCGGGAUGAGUGGCAAGUUCGUCAUCGAAAAGGUGCUGUCAAAUGACAAUGCAAGUUAUGGCUACAAUGCGGCCAACGGCUGCUAUGAAGACUUGAUGGCUUCUGGAAUAUUGGACCCAUCAAAGGUUGUGAGGUGUUGCAUAGAGCAUUCUGCUGUUGUUGCCAAGUCUUUUCUCACCUCCGACGUAGUGAUCGUGGAGGCGCAAGAAAGCAAGCCGGUUCGCAUAAGGCCCCCAAUGCCCCCUAGGAACUUGAUUCCCCCAAUGCCUGCAUCAGUUUCAGGUAUUCGAGUGUAG